GUGAGGAAUAUUGGUCAAUGGGCGGGAGCCUGAACCAGCCAAGUCGCGUGAAGGAAGAAGGAUCUAUGGUUCGUAAACUUCUUUUGCAGGGGAAUAAAGUGCAGGACGUGUCCUGUUUUGUAUGUACCCUGAGAAUAAGGAUCGGCUGACUCCGUGCCAGCAGCCGCGGUAAUACGGAGGAUCCGAGCGUUAUCCGGAUUUAUUGGGUUUAAAGGGUGCGUAGGUGGUUUGAUAAGUCAGCGGUGAAAGUUUGCAGCUUAACUGUAAAAAUGCCGUUGAAACUGUCGGACUUGAGUGUAAAUGAGGUAGGCGGAAUGCGUGGUGUAGCGGUGAAAUGCAUAGAUAUCACGCAGAACUCCGAUUGCGAAGGCAGCUUACUAAGCUACAACUGACACUGAAGCACGAAAGCGUGGGGAUCAAACAGGAUUAGAAACCCCUGUAGUCC
rnacentral:rRNA from 1 species